UUUUAUGCGUUAAGGAUGGAAGUGGCAUCCUUUUUUUGCUGCCAUAAAUGGCAAAAAAAGAUAUAACGGACAGCCUGACCUUUU
rnacentral:sRNA from 1 species